CCUACGGGUGGCAGCAGUGAGGAAUAUUGGUCAAUGGGCGCAAGCCUGAACCAGCCAAGUCGCGUGAGGGAUGACGGUCCUAUGGAUUGUAAACCUCUUUUGUCAGGGAGCAACGCCGGCUACGUGUAGCCGGACUGAGAGUACCUGAAGAAAAAGCAUCGGCUAACUCCGUGCCAGCAGCCGCGGUAAUACGGGGGAUGCGAGCGUUAUCCGGAUUGAUUGGGUUUAAAGGGUGCGUAGGCGGAAUGCCAAGUCAGCGGUAAAAUCGCGGGGCUCAACCUCGCUCCGCCGUUGAAACUGGCGUUCUUGAGUGGGCGAGAAGUAUGCGGAAUGCGUGGUGUAGCGGUGAAAUGCAUAGAUAUCACGCAGAACUCCGAGUGCGAAGGCAGCAUACCGGCGCCCAACUGACGCUGAAGCACGAAAGCGUGGGUAUCGAACAGGAUUAGAUACCCUGGUAGUC
rnacentral:rRNA from 1 species